GAUGAAGAACGUAGCGAAAUGCGAUACGUAAUGUGAAUUGCAGAUUUUAGUGAAUCAUCGAAUCUUUGAACGCACAUUGCGCCCGCCAGUAUUCUGGCGGGCAUGCCUGUUCGAGCGUCAUUACAACCAUCAAGCCUUCGCUUGUGUUGGGGCCCCGCGGCUGCCGCGGCCCCCUAAAUCCAGUGGCGGGCUCGUCGUCGUACCGAGCGCAGUAGACAUCCUCGCUCCGGGAACCCGACGGGUGCCGGCCGUGAAACCCCCCCCCAUCAAGGUUGACCUCGGAUCAGGUAGGAAUACCCGCUGAACUUAAGCAUAUCAAUAAGCGGAGGA
rnacentral:misc_RNA from 1 species